rnacentral:rRNA from 1 species
UACAGAGGUGUCAAGCGUUGUUCGGAUUCAUUGGGCGUAAAGGGCGCGUAGGCGGCGCGGUAAGUCGGGUGUGAAAUCUCGGGGCUUAACUCCGAAACUGCAUUCGAUACUGCCGUGCUUGAGGACUGGAGAGAAGACUGGAAUUUACGGUGUAGCGGUGAAAUGCGUAGAUAUCGUAAGGAAGACCAGUGGCGAAGGCGGGUCUCUGGACAGUUCCUGACGCUGAGGCACGAAGGCCAGGGGAGCAAACGGG